rnacentral:rRNA from 1 species
GCGCACCAGGCGAGAAUCUUCCACAAUGGACGAAAGUCUGAUGGAGCGACGCCGCGUGCGGGAUGAAGGCCUUAUGGGUUGUAAACCGCUGUCAGGGGGAAGAACAUCGGAAUGAACAAUACUCAUUCCGACUGACGUUACCCCAGAGGAAGCUCCGGCCAACUCCGUGCCAGCAGCCGCGGUAAUACGGGGGAGCAAGCGUUGUCCGGAAUUAUUGGGCGUAAAGGGCGUGUAGGCGGCGAGGUAAGUCGAAUGUGAAACUCUCGACGGCUA